UUCAGUGUAUAUGUGUAUAUGUACAUGAGUGAUUGCUACUAAAAAGUUGUGGCACAUCUUUAUUUUAUUCGAUUUAUGGUCAUUGCAUUGAGAUGUGUAUACAUACAUAUAUCUGAUUUAUGUAUAAUAAUUUAAUAUUUAAUAAUAUUAAAGUACGUAUAUUUAUAUGUAAUUUGAGUGAUUGCGUAAACAUUUUUUUAUUAUAAUACGGAUCUGUUUUGCACAAAAGUAUAAAUCUAAUUAUUAAUGAUUAUUUCGAAUACGGGUUCCACCUCAAACAUCGAUAAAUUUAUGUUCAUUCGACGCGUUUUGACACGAAACGAAAGAAUCUGGCAAAAAAUGUGGCAGUCUGCUUCGUGAAACAAAAUAUUAAUUGUUAAAGUUGAUGACUUGACAAGUUAUAAAAUAACUAAAGCUUUAGUUAUAAUUGUUUGUAGUUUUGGUUAAAACAGAAUAUACUUUCUGCUUUAACCAAUUAUAAAUACAAAAAGUACAAUAUAUUUUGGUUAAAGUAAAGAAUAAUACUUUGCAUUGAACUGUUUGUGCUUUUGUUUGAAUUUAUUUUGUCAGUAUGACAGGUUUCAUGACCUGUCAAGUGUCAACUUUAACAAUUAAUAUAUCUUGUUUCACAAGACAGACUGCCGCAGUUUUUUGCCAGAUUCUUUCAUUUCUUGUCAAAACGCGUCGACUGAGCAUAAUUUAAUCGAUAUUGGAAGUGAAGUCCGUAUUCUAAAUAAUUACUCCACUUAUACAUACAUAUGCUUUAUAAAAUACAUGUUAUAUAUUAUAUAACAAUCUAUAUGUAUUUUUUCAUUUUUUUUAACUAUUGUUAUAGUUACUUAUUAGUAUCUGCGAAUAGAAAUGGAACGUGAAUAUGCGAAAACAUUUUCAAAUAACGAUGAAGUUAACAUUGCAUUACAAAAUAAAAAUAACGAGAAUAUCAAUAUCAUAGUCGAUCCAGGAGAUUCCUUAUUAAUCGAUUUAGUGCGAAAUUAUUCUCAUCUAUACGAUAAAUCAUCAUUCAAUUUUAAAGAUUCAAUAAUGAAAAAAAAUUCAUGGAAUGAAAUUGGAAAAGUAAUGAAUUGUCCACCUACUGAAUGCCAAACUCGAUGAGUUAGAUUAACAGAAAAAUUCUCAAAAGAAAGAAGAGAAAUUAAAGUUGAAAGUAGAAGUGAAAGUGAAGUAUUCUAUCGGAAAAGUUUUCCACUGUAUGAAAAUAUGAAAUUUUUGAAUAAUCAUGUAAAACAAAGAAAGACUAUUACAAAUAUUUCACGAAAUAUAAGAGAAAAUAAAGAAAAUGUUCCUUCAAAAUUGUCAACUUCGCUUAAUUGAGAAAGAAAUUUCGAAGAAAAUUCGUCUCAAUCUUCUACAUUACAACAUUUGAAUCCGACAUCGUCAAGCAAUCUACCUCAAUCUUCUACAUUACAACAUUUAAUGAGUCCUACAUC